rnacentral:rRNA from 1 species
GAACGCACCGCAAGGUGAGUGGCGCACGGGUGAGUAACGCGUGGGAACCUGCCCUGGAGUGGGGGAUAACCCGGCGAAAGCCGGGCUAAUACCGCAUACGUCCUGAGGGAGAAAGAUUUAUCGCUCUAGGAGGGGCCCGCGUCGGAUUAGCUAGUUGGUGAGGUAACGGCUCACCAAGGCGACGAUCCGUAGCUGGUCUGAGAGGAUGAUCAGCCACACUGGGACUGAGACACGGCCCAGACUCCUACGGGAGGCAGCAGUGGGGAAUAUUGGACAAUGGGGGAAACCCUGAUCCAGCAAUGCCGCGUGAGUGAUGAAGGCCUUAGGGUUGUAAAGCUCUUUCGGCGGGGACGAUGAUGACGGUACCCGCAGAAGAAGCCCCGGCUAACUUCGUGCCAGCAGCCGCGGUAAUACGAAGGGGGCAAGCGUUGUUCGGAAUUACUGGGCGUAAAGGGCGCGCAGGCGGCCGACGUAGUCAGGCGUGAAAGCCCCGGGCUUAACCUGGGAAUUGCGUUUGAUACUGGUUGGCUGGAGUUCGGGAGAGGAUGGUGGAAUUCCCAGUGUAGAGGUGAAAUUCGUAGAUAUUGGGAAGAACACCGGUGGCGAAGGCGGCCGUCUGGACCGAAACUGACGCUGAGGCGCGAAAGCUAGGGGA